rnacentral:lncRNA from 1 species
UCAUCCCAGGUUUUCAAAUUUUGAGAGUAAAAAAAGGGUCAACGCCAGACUUGAGAAACCACCAAUAUUGGUGACCAUUCCCCGACAAAUUCUAAAAGAGAACAUCUAAAGAUGGCUUUUAUGAACUUUGAAAAUAAAAUGAUGAUUGCAAGUUACUAUGGGCUCACUAGGAAUUAUCAUAAACUAACCCAGCAUGCUGUCUGGCACAGAGUAGACAAUAACGAUGUAUUGAACAGAUGAACUUCAAAUCUACUUUUAAGGCAACUAUCCCAUUGAUAAAUGACUGUAACUUCAGAAAGUUCUGCCUUAAAUACAGCAGUUUGCCUCUCUAACUUCUAACCAUUACCCUCACUCUGACCUCAAAACCUACAGAAUAAGUCAACUCUCCCAGGUGACAGUUGCACAACUAUUUGGAGACUUCCGUAUGUGCUCUCAUGGUCUUUUUAUUUUCCCCCGUGGGUAAAUAUUCCCAGGGCCUUCAAUUCCUCUCUGUGGGACAGAGUGUCAAGCUUCUCACCACUUGGCCGACCUUCUCUGAGAUCUCUCUGCUUGGUCGAAGUUGCUCUCCACAGUUUCAGGUCCACAAUGUUCCCAAUGAGCUCCAACCAGCAGCAUUCAGUAGAAUUAUCACUCCCCAGCUCUGAUUGUAUUUCAGCUUUCUUCAUUUCUGCCUCUUUACUCCAAUUGUGAUGUGGAUGCACAUAUCCAAGCUGAAACCUGAAAAAAGGGGGAGGGCUGUGGGGGAGAGAAUGGAACAUUCCAAAAUUAGAAACCAGUCCCUAGCAAAUGAGAACUAAUUUUGUGGCGAGUUGAUCCAAGAGAAGGACUGGCACAGGCGCUCUGACGGACGACAAACAUCUAUUGAGCACUGCCUAUGUGCCAAGCACCACGCUAAAUGCUGUGGGUACGGUGAGUACCAAGAGAUGGUACCAUCCUCCCUCUUGAAGCUUGGCCUCUGGUAGGCAAUUAAAUGAAGAAAUAUGGAAUAACAAAUUAAGACAAGUUCUACUGUUACGAAGAAAUCUCUGUUUCGCUGGCUUCAGGUUUCCAUGAGGGGACAUUUGCUAGAGAAACACUUCUUUCUCC